rnacentral:rRNA from 1 species
AAAACAUCGCCUCUUGAUUUCUAAUAAGAGGUCCAGCCUGCCCAGUGACCAUGUUCAACGGCCGCGGUAUCCUAACCGUGCGAAGGUAGCGUAAUCACUUGUUCUUUAAAUGUGGACUAGUAUGAACGGCUUCACGAAGGUUAUACUGUCUCCUUUUUCUAAUCAGUGAAACUAAUCUCCCCGUGAAGAAGCGGGGAUAAAGCUAUAAGACGAGAAGACCCUAUGGAGCUUAAAACGACACAGCACUUACCAAANAAUUUUUAAUGUUUCUGUANACACUNAAUUCUUUAAAGUAAAAUGACUGCAAGUUUUCGGUUGGGGUGACCACGGAGUAUAUCAUAACCUCCAUGUUGAAAGAAUUUCUUUCUAAGCCAAGAAUAACCAAUCUAAGCAUUAACAAAUUAACAUCUAUUGACCCAAUAAAUUUGAUCAACGAACCAAGUUACCCUAGGGAUAACAGCGCAAUCCACUUCAAGAGCUCCUAUCGACAAGUGGGUUUACGACCUCGAUGUUGGAUCAGGGUAUCCCAGUGGUGCAGCCGCUACUAAAGGUUCGUUUGUUCAACGAUUAAAACCCUACGUGAU